rnacentral:rRNA from 1 species
AGCGAACGCUGGCGGCAGGCCUAACACAUGCAAGUCGAACGCACCCUUCGGGGUGAGUGGCAGACGGGUGAGUAACACGUGGGAACGUACCCUUCGAUAUGGGAUAAUUUCGGGAAACUGGAGCUAAUACCGGAUACGCCCUUUUGGGGAAAGGUUUACCGUCGAAGGAUCGGCCCGCGUCUGAUUAGCUAGUUGGUGGGGUAACGGCCUACCAAGGCGACGAUCAGUAGCUGGUCUGAGAGGAUGAUCAGCCACACUGGGACUGAGACACGGCCCAGACUCCUACGGGAGGCAGCAGUGGGGAAUAUUGGACAAUGGGCGCAAGCCUGAUCCAGCCAUGCCGCGUGAGUGAUGAAGGCCUUAGGGUUGUAAAGCUCUUUUGUCCGGGACGAUAAUGACGGUACCGGAAGAAUAAGCCCCGGCUAACUUCGUG